UUAAGCGACUAAGCGUACACGGUGGAUGCCCUGGCAGUCAGAGGCGAUGAAGGGCGUGCUAAUCUGCGAUAAGCGCCGGUAAGGUGAUAUGAACCGUUAUAACCGGCGAUACCCGAAUGGGGAAACCCAGUGUGUUUCGACACACUAUCAUUAACUGAAUCCAUAGGUUAAUGAGGCGAACCGGGGGAACUGAAACAUCUAAGUACCCCGAGGAAAAGAAAUCAACCGAGAUUCCCCCAGUAGCGGCGAGCGAACGGGGAGGAGCCCAGAGCCUGAAUCAGCAUGUGUGUUAGUGGAAGCGUCUGGAAAGGCGCGCGAUACAGGGUGACAGCCCCGUACACAAAAGCGCAUGUGCUGUGAGCUCGAUGAGUAGGGCGGGACACGUGGUAUCCUGUCUGAAUAUGGGGGGACCAUCCUCCAAGGCUAAAUACUCCUGACUGACCGAUAGUGAACCAGUACCGUGAGGGAAAGGCGAAAAGAACCCCGGCGAGGGGAGUGAAAAAGAACCUGAAACCGUGUACGUACAAGCAGUGGGAGCACCCUUUGGGGUGUGACUGCGUACCUUUUGUAUAAUGGGUCAGCGACUUAUAUUCUGUAGCAAGGUUAACCGCAUAGGGGAGCCGGAGGGAAACCGAGUCUUAAUUGGGCGUUAAGUUGCAGGGUAUAGACCCGAAACCCGGUGAUCUAGCCAUGGGCAGGUUGAAGGUUGGGUAACACUAACUGGAGGACCGAACCGACUAAUGUUGAAAAAUUAGCGGAUGACCUGUGGCUGGGGGUGAAAGGCCAAUCAAACCGGGAGAUAGCUGGUUCUCCCCGAAAGCUAUUUAGGUAGCGCCUCGUGAAUUCAUCUCCGGGGGUAGAGCACUGUUUCGGCUAGGGGGCCAUCCCGGCUUACCAACCCGAUGCAAACUGCGAAUACCGGAGAAUGUUAUCACGGGAGACACACGGCGGGUGCUAACGUCCGUCGUGAAGAGGGAAACAACCCAGACCGCCAGCUAAGGUCCCAAAGUCAUGGUUAAGUGGGAAACGAUGUGGGAAGGCCCAGACAGCCAGGAUGUUGGCUUAGAAGCAGCCAUCAUUUAAAGAAAGCGUAAUAGCUCACUGGUCGAGUCGGCCUGCGCGGAAGAUGUAACGGGGCUAAACCAUGCACCGAAGCUGCGGCAGCGACGCUGAUGCGUUGUUGGGUAGGGGAGCGUUCUGUAAGCCUGUGAAGGUGGCCUGUGAGGGUUGCUGGAGGUAUCAGAAGUGCGAAUGCUGACAUAAGUAACGAUAAAGCGGGUGAAAAGCCCGCUCGCCGGAAGACCAAGGGUUCCUGUCCAACGUUAAUCGGGGCAGGGUGAGUCGACCCCUAAGGCGAGGCCGAAAGGCGUAGUCGAUGGGAAACGGGUUAAUAUUCCCGUACUUGGUGUUACUGCGAAGGGGGGACGGAGAAGGCUAUGUUGGCCGGGCGACGGUUGUCCCGGUUUAAGCGUGUAGGCUGGUUUUCCAGGCAAAUCCGGAAAAUCAAGGCUGAGGCGUGAUGACGAGGCACUACGGUGCUGAAGCAACAAAUGCCCUGCUUCCAGGAAAAGCCUCUAAGCAUCAGGUAACAUCAAAUCGUACCCCAAACCGACACAGGUGGUCAGGUAGAGAAUACCAAGGCGCUUGAGAGAACUCGGGUGAAGGAACUAGGCAAAAUGGUGCCGUAACUUCGGGAGAAGGCACGCUGACAUGUAGGUGAAGUGAUUUACUCAUGGAGCUGAAGUCAGUCGAAGAUACCAGCUGGCUGCAACUGUUUAUUAAAAACACAGCACUGUGCAAACACGAAAGUGGACGUAUACGGUGUGACGCCUGCCCGGUGCCGGAAGGUUAAUUGAUGGGGUCAGCGCAAGCGAAGCUCCUGAUCGAAGCCCCGGUAAACGGCGGCCGUAACUAUAACGGUCCUAAGGUAGCGAAAUUCCUUGUCGGGUAAGUUCCGACCUGCACGAAUGGCGUAAUGAUGGCCAGGCUGUCUCCACCCGAGACUCAGUGAAAUUGAACUCGCUGUGAAGAUGCAGUGUACCCGCGGCAAGACGGAAAGACCCCGUGAACCUUUACUAUAGCUUGACACUGAACAUUGAGCCUUGAUGUGCAGGAUAGGUGGGAGGCUUUGAAGUGUGGACGCCAGUCUGCAUGGAGCCGACCUUGAAAUACCACCCUUUAAUGUUUGAUGUUCUAACGUGGACCCGUGAUCCGGGUUGCGGACAGUGUCUGGUGGGUAGUUUGACUGGGGCGGUCUCCUCCUAAAGAGUAACGGAGGAGCACGAAGGUUGGCUAAUCCUGGUCGGACAUCAGGAGGUUAGUGCAAUGGCAUAAGCCAGCUUGACUGCGAGCGUGACGGCGCGAGCAGGUGCGAAAGCAGGUCAUAGUGAUCCGGUGGUUCUGAAUGGAAGGGCCAUCGCUCAACGGAUAAAAGGUACUCCGGGGAUAACAGGCUGAUACCGCCCAAGAGUUCAUAUCGACGGCGGUGUUUGGCACCUCGAUGUCGGCUCAUCACAUCCUGGGGCUGAAGUAGGUCCCAAGGGUAUGGCUGUUCGCCAUUUAAAGUGGUACGCGAGCUGGGUUUAGAACGUCGUGAGACAGUUCGGUCCCUAUCUGCCGUGGGCGCUGGAGAACUGAGGGGGGCUGCUCCUAGUACGAGAGGACCGGAGUGGACGCAUCACUGGUGUUCGGGUUGUCAUGCCAAUGGCACUGCCCGGUAGCUAAAUGCGGAAGAGAUAAGUGCUGAAAGCAUCUAAGCACGAAACUUGCCCCGAGAUGAGUUCUCCCUGAGACUUAGAGUCUCCUGAAGGAACGUUGAAGACGACGACGUUGAUAGGCCGGGUGUGUAAGCGCAGCGAUGCGUUGAGCUAACCGGUACUAAUGAACCGUGAGGCUUAACCUU
rnacentral:rRNA from 1 species